rnacentral:rRNA from 1 species
UACGUAGGGUGCAAGCAUUGUCCGGAAUUAUUGGGCGUAAAGAGCUCGUAGGCGGUUUGUCGCGUCGAAUGUGAAAUCCCGGGGCUCAACCCCGGGUCUGCAUUCGAUACGGGCAGACUAGAGUUCGGUAGGGGAGUCUGGAAUUCCUGGUGUAGCGGUGAAAUGCGCAGAUAUCAGGAGGAACACCGGUGGCGAAGGCGGGACUCUGGGCCGAUACUGACGCUGAGGAGCGAAAGCUAGGGGAGCAAACAGG